rnacentral:rRNA from 1 species
UACAGAGGGUGCAAGCGUUAUUCGGAAUUACUGGGCGUAAAGCGUGCGCAGGCGGUUGCGUAAGUCAGAUGUGAAAGCCCCGGGCUCAACCUGGGAAUGGCAAUGGAUACUGGCAGGCUAGAGUGCGGUAGAGGGUAGUGGAAUUCCCGGUGUAGCGGUGAAAUGCGUAGAGAUCGGGAGGAACACCAGUGGCGAAGGCGGCUACCUGGACCAGCACUGACACUGAGGCACGAAAGCGUGGGGAGCAAACAGG